AAUGCAGUGAUGAGGUGCUAACAUGUAAGGAAAUUUAUUUAAAGCUUGGAUCUUCGAUGAAAUUUGCUUGUUACGUUUGGCUUUAUUUUACU
rnacentral:snoRNA from 1 species